rnacentral:rRNA from 1 species
ACGGGAGGCAGCAGUGGGGAAUAUUGCACAAUGGGGGAAACCCUGAUGCAGCAACGCCGCGUGAGUGAAGAAGUAUUUCGGUAUGUAAAGCUCUAUCAGCAGGGAAGAAAAUGUCGGUACCUGACUAAGAAGCCCCGGCUAACUACGUGCCAGCAGCCGCGGUAAUACGUAGGGGGCAAGCGUUAUCCGGAUUUACUGGGUGUAAAGGGAGCGUAGACGGCGGUGCAAGUCUGAAGUGAAACUCCGGUGCUCAACAUCGGAACUGCUUUGGAAACUGUACUGCUAGAGUGCAGGAGGGGUAAGCGGAAUUCCUAGUGUAGCGGUGAAAUGCGUAGAUAUUAGGAGGAACACCGGUGGCGAAGGCGGCUUACUGGACUGUAACUGACGUUGAGGCUCGAAGGCGUGGGGAGCAAACAGGAUUAGAUACCCUGGUA